ensembl:lncRNA
CAAUGUUCCGCGCUCAAUUAGAAUGACGCUAACAUGCCCCGCGGGGGUCUGUCUAGCGCGGAGACGAGAGGUAAGCGUGGAACAGGCCGUUAGGCGGUAAUGGCAGGGCCCCGCCUCCUUCUCGGGCCCUGGAAACGGGGCUGUUGCAGGGAGGAUGCGCAGUGCAGGUCUGCACGGCCACAUGGAAGCGUCAAGGAAAUACAGGCAAAACGUGGUUACGCAAAGGUUGCUAAGACUUACGGAGCUGCCAGAGCUCCCGGGAAGAAGGUGAAGGGAUCAAACAUGAGUCUAUUGUGUCUCCUGCUGUGGUGAAGGAGGAAAUAGACAGAACAGGCUCUGUCUUGAAAGCAGAACUCCAUCUUGGGGUGGAUUGUGGACUUUGAGCUAUAUGCCCAGUAUCUAUGGAAACGACAUACCAACUGGAAAACCAGACCCCUCUGGUUUGAAGAGCCCCAAGUGGCCAUAAAUUUGUCAAGUGGACACAACCCUCUGCAAGGGAAGCUGGAAAAUAUAAUACCAAAAUUUUGGCUGAUCAAAGAUUUUAUCAAGAGUGCAUAGCAGUGAUGUGCCCGUCUCAG